GAGAUCCUACGAGAGGCAGCAGUGGGGAAUAUUGCACAAUGGGGGAAACCCUGAUGCAGCGACGCCGCGUGAGCGAUGAAGUAUUUCGGUAUGUAAAGCUCUAUCAGCAGGGAAGAAAAUGACGGUACCUGACUAAGAAGCCCCGGCUAACUACGUGCCAGCAGCCGCGGUAAUACGUAGGGGGCAAGCGUUAUCCGGAUUUACUGGGUGUAAAGGGAGCGUAGACGGUCCUGCAAGCCAGAUGUGAAAGCCCGGGGCUCAACCCCGGGACUGCAUUUGGAUAUGUA
rnacentral:rRNA from 1 species